GACAGAGGUGCCGAGCGUUAGGCGGAAUUACUGGGCGUAAAGCGAGUGUAGGUGGUUGUCAUAGUCAGGUGUGAAAGCCUUGAGCUCAACUCAAGAAAUGCACUUGAUACUGGGCGACUAGAGGACCGGAGAGGAUAGUGGAAUUCCCAGUGUAGUGGUGAAAUACGUAGAGAUUGGGAAGAACACCAGUGGCGAAGGCGGCUAUCUGGACGGUUUCUGACACUAAGACUCGAAAGCGUGGGGAGCAAACAGG
rnacentral:rRNA from 1 species